GACGAACGCUGGCGGCGGGCUUAACACAUGCAAGUCGAACGGAAAGGCACUGCUUUUGUGGGGUGCUCGAGUGGCGAACGGGUGAGUAACACGUGAGUAACCUGCCCUUGACUUUGGGAUAACUUCAGGAAACUGGGGCUAAUACCGGAUAGGAGCUCCUGCUGCAUGGUGGGGGUUGGAAAGUUUCGGCGGUUGGGGAUGGACUCGCGGCUUAUCAGCUUGUUGGUGGGGUAGUGGCUUACCAAGGCUUUGACGGGUAGCCGGCCUGAGAGGGUGACCGGCCACAUUGGGACUGAGAUACGGCCCAGACUCCUACGGGAGGCAGCAGUGGGGAAUAUUGCACAAUGGGCGGAAGCCUGAUGCAGCAACGCCGCGUGCGGGAUGACGGCCUUCGGGUUGUAAACCGCUUUCGCCUGUGACGAAGCGUGAGUGUCGGUAAUGGGUAAAGAAGCACCGGCUAACUACGUG
rnacentral:rRNA from 1 species